CGUCAGAGGCGAGGCCGUCCGUCAGAGGCUGACGCCGUCAGAGGCUGAAGCCCGUCAGAGGCUGAGGCCCGUCCGCCCGCCCGUCAGAGGCUGAAGGCCCGCCCGUCAGAGGCUGAAGGCCCCCCGUCAGAGGCUGAAGGCCCGCCCGUCAGAGGCUGAGGCGUCCGUCAGAGGCGAGGCCCGUCGUCAGAGGCUGAAGGCCCGUCCGUCAGAGAGGCUGAAGGCCCGUCCGUCAGAGGCUGAAGGCCCGUCCGUCAGAGGCUGAAGGCCCGUCCGUCAGAGGCUGAAGGCCCGUCCGUCAGAGGCUGAAGGCCCGUCCGUCAGAGGCUGAAGGCCCGUCCGUCAGAGGCUGAAGGCCCGUCCGUCAGAGGCUGAAGGCCCGUCCGCCCGUCCGUCAGAGGCUGAAGGCCCCUCGUCCGUCCGUCAGAGGCUGAAGGCCCCUCCGUCAGCAGGCGUCGUCGAGCUGAAGCCCGUCCGUCAGAGGCUGAAGGCCGUCCGCAGAGGCUGAAGGCCCCUCGUCAGAGGUGAGCCCCCGUCAGAGGCUGAAGGCCCCGCGCAGAGGCUGAAGGCCCUCCGUCAGAGGCUGAAGGCCCCUCCGUCAGAGGCUGAAGGCCCCUCCGUCAGAGGCUGAAG
rnacentral:lncRNA from 1 species